rnacentral:tRNA from 1 species
GGAGAGUUGUCAGAGUGGCUUAUUGUGCUUGGUUGCUAACCAAGUGGAGGUAAAACUUCCAAGGGUUCGAAUCCCUUACUCUCCU